GUCUUAUCUUCGGAUAUGACACCUGAUAAACUGGAAAAAAAUACAGAGAAGAUUAGCAUGGCCCCUGCGCAAGGAUGUGAGUGUUCGCUCGGACGCUCGCGCCGCGCAC
rnacentral:snRNA from 20 species